UUCACCUUGACCAUGUCCUUUAGAAUCAGGUGGGUCAUCACCAGCCCUGCUGUUCUCCGCACCUGCUGAGCUGGGUCCCGGAGCCUAGGAGUGAAAUCUCAAGUCACUGGCACUAAUGUCUUCUGCUCCUGCUCUUCCCGAAGAACCCGGCGCCGACAGAGCUCCCCGCUCACUGCCUGUUCCAAGUGCACCAGCUGCUGCAGAGCCACAUCUCCAGCCAGGGACAGCAGGUUCAUCAACAGGAAAGUGGGGAGCAUGGGGGUGUCCUCUGGAGGAGGGGAGGGAAAGCAGGGAGAAAGAGAUAAAAUUAAAUCUCACAGGACCCUG